AGUGAACGCUGGCGGUAGGCCUAACACAUGCAAGUCGAACGGCAGCACAGUAAGAGCUUGCUCUUACGGGUGUCGAGUGGCGGACGGUUGAGGAAUACAUCGGAAUCUACUUUUUCGUGGGGGAUAACGUAGGGAAACUUACGCUAAUACCGCAUACGACCUACGGGUGAAAGCAGGGGAUCUUCGGACCUUGCGCGAUUGAAUGAGCCGAUGUCGGCUUAGCUAGUUGGCGGGGUAAAGGCCCACCAAGGCGACGAUCCGUAGCUGGUCUGAGAGGAUGAUCAGUAAAACUGGGACAGAGACACGGACCAGACUACUACGGGAGGAAGAAGUGGGGAAUAUUGGACAAUGGGCGAAAGACGGAUCCAGCAAUGCAGAGUGAGUGAUGAAGGCCUUAGGGUUGUAAAGCACUUUUACCCGGGAUGAUAAUGACAGUACCGGGAGAAUAAGAUCAGGCUAAAUAAGUG
rnacentral:rRNA from 1 species